rnacentral:rRNA from 1 species
GAGUUUGAUCCUGGCUCAGAGCGAACGCUGGCGGCGUGCCCAACACAUGCAAGUCGAACGUGAAAUGGGGCAACCCAGAGUAAAGUGGCGUACGGGUGAGUAACACGUAGGUAAUCUACCCUAGAGUCUGGAAUAACCUGCCGAAAGGCGGGCUAAUACUGGAUAGAGCGACGGAAUCCGUAAUUGGGUUUUUCGGGAAAGGGGGCGAGCAAUCGCCUUCGCUUUAGGAUGAGCCCGCGUCCCAUUAGGUAGUUGGCGGGGUAAUGGCCCACCAAGCCUGUGAUGGGUAGCUGGUCUGAGAGGAUGAUCAGCCACACUGGAACUGAAACACGGUCCAGACUCCUACGGGAGGCAGCAGUGGGGAAUCUUGCGCAAUGGACGAAAGUCUGACGCAGCCACGCCGCGUGAGUGAAGAAGGCC